CCUACGGGUGGCAGCAGUGGGGAAUAUUGGACAAUGGGCGGAAGCCUGAUCCAGCCAUGCCGCGUGUGUGAAGAAGGCCUUUUGGUUGUAAAGCACUUUCAGCGGGGAGGAAGGCGUUAAGGUUAAUAACCUUGGCGAUUGACGUUACCCGCAGAAGAAGCACCGGCUAACUCCGUGCCAGCAGCCGCGGUAAUACGGAGGGUGCAAGCGUUAAUCGGAAUUACUGGGCGUAAAGCGCACGCAGGCGGUCUGUCAAGUCGGAUGUGAAAUCCCCGGGCUCAACCUGGGAACUGCAUUCGAAACUGGCAGGCUAGAGUCUUGUAGAGGGGGGUAGAAUUCCAGGUGUAGCGGUGAAAUGCGUAGAGAUCUGGAGGAAUACCGGUGGCGAAGGCGGCCCCCUGGACAAAGACUGACGCUCAGGUGCGAAAGCGUGGGGAGCAAACAGGAUUAGAUACCCGUGUAGUC
rnacentral:rRNA from 1 species